UUGAUCCUGGCUCAGGAUGAACGCUAGCGGCGCGCUUAACGCAUGCAAGUCGAGCGAUGAGGCUCCCUUCGGGGAGUACAUCAGCGGCAGACGGGUGAGUAACACGUAGAUAACCUGCCCUCAAGACGGGGACAACCGGUGGAAACAGCGGCUAAUACCCGAUAUGCUCACAGGAUCGGGAGGUCGAGUGAGGAAAGCGCCCCUUCGGGGGAGAGUGUUUGAGGAGGGAUCUGCGGCCCAUCAGCUAGUUGGUGAGGUAACGGCUCACCAAGGCGAAGACGGGUAGGGGGUGUGAGAGCAUGGCCCCCCACAAUGGGACUGAGACACGGCCCAUACUCCUACGGGAGGCAGCAGCGGGGAAUAUUGCGCAAUGGACGGAAGUCAGACGCAGCGACGCCGCGUGGGUGAGGAAGGCCUUCGGGUUGUAAAGCCCUUUUCAGGGGAGCGAGAAAGGACGGUACCCUUGGAAUAAGCGUCGGCUAACUACGUGCCAGCAGCCGCGGUAAGACGUAGGACGCAAGCGUUAUCCGGAUUUACUGGGCGUAAAGCGCCUGUAGGCGGUCAAGUAAGUCGGAUGUGAAAGCCCCGUGCUCAACGCGGGGAAGCCAUUCGAUACUGCGUGACUAGAGAACGGCAGAGGGAAACGGAAUUUCUGGUGUAGCGGUAAAAUGCGCAGAGAUCAGAAAGAACACCGAUGGCGAAGGCAGUCUCCUAGGCCGCAUCUGACGCUGAGAGGCGAAAGCUAGGGGAGCAAACAGGAUUAGAGACCCUGGUAGUCCUAGCUGUAAACGAUGGAUGCUAGGUGUGGGCCGGAAAGGUCCGUGCCGUAGUUAACGCGAUAAGCAUCCCGCCUGGGGAGUACGGGCGCAAGGCUAAAACUCAAACGAAUUGACGGGGACCCGGACAAGCAGCGGAGCGU
rnacentral:rRNA from 1 species